UGCACUACUUUGUCACAUCUUUCCGUCACA
rnacentral:piRNA from 1 species